GACGAACGCUGGCGGCGUGCUUAACACAUGCAAGUCGAACGGAAAGGCCCUGCUCUUGUGGGGUGCUCGAGUGGCGAAAGGGGGAGUAACACGUGAGUAACCUGCCCUUGACUUUGGGAUAACUUCAGGAAACUGGGGCUAAUACCGGAUAGGAGCUCCUGCUGCAUGGUGGGGGUUGGAAAGUUUCGGCGGUUGGGGAUGGACUCGCGGCUUAUCAGCUUGUGGGUGGGGGAGUGGCUUUCCAAGGCUUUGGCGGGUAGCCGGCCUGAGAGGGUGACCGGCCACAGUGGGACUGAGAUACGGCCCAGACUCCUACGGGAGGCAGCAGUGGGGAAUAUUGCACAAUGGGCGGAAGCCUGGUGCAGCAACGCCGCGUGCGGGAUGACGGCCUUCGGGUUGUAAACCGCUUUCGCCUGUGACGAAGCGUGAGUGACGGUAAUGGGUAAAGAAGCACCGGCUAACUACGUG
rnacentral:rRNA from 1 species